CGUUGAAACACCGGUUCUCGUACGAUCACUGAAGUUAAGCAACACCGAGCCUGGUCAGUACUUAGAUGGGUGAUAGCUUGGGAAUACCAAGUGCUGUAAG